UACGGAGGGUGCAAGCGUUGUCCGGAUUUAUUGGUUGUAAAGGGUGCGUAGGCGGCUAAUUAAGUCAGCGGUGAAAUUCCACAGCUCAACUGUGGAACUGCCAUUGAUACUGGUUGGCUUGAGUACAGAUGAGGUAGGCGGAAUUGACAGUGUAGCGGUGAAAAUGCUUAGAUAUUGUCAAGAACACCUAUUGCGAAGGCAGCUUACUAGCUGUAACUGACGCUGAGGCACGAAAAGCGUGGGGGAUCAAACAGG
rnacentral:rRNA from 1 species